rnacentral:tRNA from 1 species
GCGGCUGUGGCGGAACAGGCAGACGCGCUGUCUUGAGGGGGCAGUAAGGAUCCCCUUGUGCGAGUUCGAAUCUCGCCAGCCGCACCA